GAGUACUGAGGAGACGUAUGUGGGAUCUCUGCCUUUGAACCAACCUUCUAUCUUUUCUCUCUCUGUGUAUUUCAAAUAUUGGUGUAAAGUUACAGUGGUAUGGUGGAGCGUUAAUUUUAGAGAGAUCGAAACAGUUUGGAGUGUGCGGGACGCAAUAGCCUUUGAGGGCGGCGCGCAGAUGCUGCCACUGCCACAUGUCGUCAGGUGCGCACCCGAGAGUGGAGCGAUGGUGGAGGACACGCUGUUCUUCUCGCAUGAGUAAAGCUGUGGUAGUGUUCUUGAUGAAGGAGCAUUUGGCAAGCAAACUAACUAAAACAGGAAUAUGGAUGAAAGGAGAGAAGAUGCAGGUUAGCUUAUUAAGUGCACCUGCGAUGAUUGUUACAAAACGUGAUACGUGAAUCGUGAAGUGAAACAAAACGUAUGAGCUCGUUUCGGAAAGUUCGCCAGUUCUAUAAAAUUGAUUCCGCUCAGGUGUAAAAUAUCGGCAGGUAAAACAUGCGCUGACUUUUCGCAGACAAGUGUUCAUGCUUCUUAAUAACCAGUCCCUAUAGGACAUAACUUUCAGGUGUAUACAUGGUGACGGUUCAUAAAUGAUGUUUGCGAGUAUGUAGAGAUUGCGCUGUUUUUACUGUGAAGAUAUCAGGCACAAACAUUUCAGCUGCCCACUCAGAGCAGAAUAGCAGAAGAGCUCGGGGACGUAUACAGACGGAACACCACGGUAAGGACUGAUUCAAGGCGCUUCACUUAACUUUCACGACGCUUACGUGCGCGCGCGCAGCUGCCACGUGAGCAGCAUUGUACGUGUUCAUUGUUCCUACAUCUGGAGGAUUAAAAGCGAUGUCGACUAGAUGGCACGUCACAGCCGAAACAUCUCUGUCUAUCUGGUUUGCAAGUUGAACUGUAAUAUUUAGCGAUUUCAUGCACAGCGAUUUAACAGAGUGACAGGCUCCGUUUCUCUUUAAAACUCUCUUUUUUCGUCUUUUUCUUUUUUCUUUUUUAAAUUUUAUUCGUAUUUGUAGAUGUAUUGUACUUCGUAUUUAAAGGUUAGUAUGGGUGAGUGGUGUGUGUAGGACAUAACAGACAGGACAGCAGACGAGACAAAAAAAAAAAAAAUUGACAAGACAGUAGACGUGACAUGGACAUGAUACUUAUCAAGACGGUAGGGGGAGUAUGAGGAGGAUGUGAAAAGAGUAGUUGUUGGAAUGUCGGUUAAUUAACAUUGUAUAACACCAACACUGGUUUCUGUGAAUGUUGCGUGUACUGUAUGUGUGUGAUUUAGUUGCGUGUGUUUGUGAGUAUUAUGCUUGAGCUGUGUGGUAUAGCUCUGGUUAUGUGGUUUGUCUGUAUAAGGACUGUACUGUUAGUUAUUGCGAAAUGAUUCACUGUGGUAUGUAGGUGAAAGUUGAAAGUUUGGGGCAUCAAGUCCCCUAUGACUUUUGGGUCUUUGUAGGAUGGUUAAUUUGAUUCUGGAUGGUUUGUUUUUCCAGUAAAAUUUAGUGAUUCUGGAAUUGAAGAUUAUUAUUUAUGAUGUUCAGUAAUGGGUUAAAACUGAAUUUAAUCAGGUCUGACAGCUUGGCAGAGACGUUGACACCAAGAUAAAUGAUGUAGUUGAUGCUUAUGGGGAUGGGUAGAGAUUGUUCUGUAGUUUCUGGGAGUUUCAUGUUGAGAGGGAGCAUAGUGAAUUUGGUCCAGUUAAUUGAGUUUCUUAUAUGAUGCAUAGGAUAUUAUUUUACCUCUGAGAACGGUAUUCCCUGUUUCCUGUAGUAGUGUUGGUGGGGAUUCUGGAGAAUCAUUCAUUUCGAUGAAGGAUGCCCAUUCUCUUUUGAGGAAGCUCUUUAAAUCUUUCUGCAGUGGGCGUGAUUGUUGUCAUUAAGCUCUGUCUCAAAUCAAAAACUAUUACCAUACAUUACAACACACCGUACAAAAGUAUUCACUAAUCAGGGAAAUCCAGGGGGAGUAUUCCACAAAGCGAGCUAACUCAAUAAGCCAGGUUUAUUUCAAUAAGGCCGGCUAAUUUCUGUCAAUUUAGGUUCCACAAACAAAGCUAAGUUACUAUGACAGCGUAUGCAUUUGGACAAACCUGCUCCAGGUUUAGUUGUGGAGCUUAGUUUAACUUGAUGAAUUCUACUGGCCAAGCUUUGUGCUUUCAUAAUUCUGUCGGGCGGAAACAAUAAUCAGGAACAAUUGUUCUGCUGUAGUGCACGCUGAAAAAAGUGAGUAUGUAAUUAAUCAGAUUUAAGAAAAAAUAUAAUGUCUAGUUUACAUAAAUAUAUUUAUGAAAUCAAAAUGUGAUUUCAUUGCUUAUAGUAAAAUACAUUAAACACGUAUCUAAUCUAAUAGUUUGAAUUAUAUAGAGAGAAUCAACUGUAUUUGUGAAGUGAGCCAAUUACGACUACUAUUAAAGUAACCUGUCUCAGCUGUAUGCGACCCAGUAGUGUAGUGCGUAGCAUUAAUGCUGCAUAACCUGAGUUUGGGUGAGUAUGUUGUGUUCAAUUUUAUUCCAGAGCUUUGCUUUGCAAUUUCUUUCCAGAGCAUGAUCAAUUCAUAUUGGCUGCAACUCAAUUCAUUCACAUGGAUGUACACGUAUGAAUCAUGUAAAUUCAAUUCAGGUUUAUUUAUAUAACGCAUUUAAGAGAGUGAGUGAGUGAAGUGAAGUGUGACCCAUACUAGGAAUUUGUGCUCUGCAUUUAACCCAUCCAAGCGCGCGCGCGCACGCACACGCACACGCACACCCAGAGCAGUGGCCAGCCUUUUUUGCUGCGGCGCCCGGGGAGCAGUUGGGGGUUCGGUGCCUCACCUCAGUCGUGGUAUUGAGGGUGGAAGAGAGCGCUGGUCAUUCACUCCCCCCACAUACAAUCCCUGCCGGACCCGAGACUCGAACCAACAACCUUCAGGUUCACCUUCAAAUUGCAAGUCCGACUCUCUAUCCAUUAGGCCACGACUGCCCCUAACAAUGUUAACAAUGUUAACAAUGUUAACAAUGUUAACAAUGAACAUUGUCACAAAGCAGCUUUACAGGGAUCUAGAUAUAAAAUUUAAAUUUAAAUUCAUCUCUAAUGAGCAAGCCAGAGGUGACAGCGGCAAGGACAAACUCCCUGAGGCGACAAGAAGAAGAAACCUUGAGAAGAAUCAGACUCAGAAGGGAACCUUUCCUCAUCUGGGUGACACCGGAUAGUGUGAUUAUAAAUCAUUUUACUUCUAUAACUGUACACUAUAAAGUCAAGCAGUGCUGAGUGUGUUAGAGUGAACUUGAGUAUGAGCAUCAUUAGAGAUUUAACUUUAAGUUUCUUGUAUCAGAUUGUAGUUAACUGUUCAGUGAUGGAGACUUGAUUGUAAACUGCUCUUACUAAUUGCUGUUUUUAGGCUAUCCAAGAAAGAACACCCAUAGCCAUCUUUAGGGUGAAAUUGAAUGAACUUUUUCUUACAAUGCAGUAAAAGCCUGGACAGUAUAAAAUCUCAACAUCUCUAAACUGAUAUGAACAAGGUUAUGAUAUGAAUAGAAAAUAAAAAAUCUGGCCUUAAAUUAUUCAAAUUACAAAAACAAAUUCUCACUUCUGUGAUGUUAUAAUCCACUAUUUGUACUUGGAGAUCAAGUAUGUAUUAAUCAUGUUAAUUUUGAGUACAGAACCUAUUUAAAUUGUCUUUUAUAUAACUUAUGUAUUUGUUUUAAUUACAGUCAGGACAGUUAGUAUUUGGACAGUGACACAAUUUUUGUAAUUUUGCCUCUGGACACCACCACAGUAGAUUUGAAAUGAAGCAAUCAAGAUGUGUUUGAAGUGUAGACUUUGAAGUGUAGACAGCUUUAAUUCAAGGAGUUAUGCCUACCUCCUCCAGAGUGUUCUUGACUUUGAUGUUGUGAAGGGGUUUUUCUUCACCAAGGAAUGAAUUUUGCAAUCAUCCACUUUAGUUGUCUUCUGUGGUCUUCCAGGCCUUUUGAUGUUGCUGAGCUCACCAGUGCAUUCUUUCUUUUUAAGAAUUUAAGAAUGUACCAAAUUGCUGAUUAGGCCACUCCUGUCCAGUUUCUGCUAUCUAUCUGAUAGGCCUGUUUUUUUUUUUUUUCAGCUUCCUUCACUUGCAUUGAAACACCUUGUUGGACCACAUUUUGAGUUCCCAUGAACAGCUACAAAAUGCAAAUUCAACAUAUGGAGUCAACUCCAGACUUUUUAUCUCCUUAAUUUGUCAUGAAAUAACGAGAAAACAGGCACACCUGGCCAUGAAACUGCUUCAGUCAAUUGUCCAAUUACUUUUGAACCUGUGAAAAUGGAGGGACUUUAAAAAAAUUGGCUGUAAUUCCUAAGCAGUUAAUGCAGUAUUUUUGUUAAACCCCUUAAAAUUAAAGCUGAAAGUCUACACUUUAAUCACAUCUUGAUUGCAUAAUUUCAAAUCUAUUGUGGUGUUCUACAGAGGCAAAAUUACAAAAAUGUGUCACUGUCUAUAUACUUAUAGACCUGACUGUAUAUAUUCUUAUGCAUUUUUUCUGUCGUAUAUUUUCUGACAUGCUGCUUCUGAGACACAAUGCUAUUUUUUUAUUCAGCUGGGGACACAGUGUCACAUGGUGCUAUACUGCCACUAUUUACAUUGGUAUUGCACCACCUGGAUGAGUUACAUUAAGGCUGAUUUAUACUCGCUGUUACCUGUACAUGUGCAAGAUGUCCGUUGUGCUUAUCCUUCAGUAAUUUUCGCACGACACUUGGGCACACCCACAGAAAUUAACAUGAUGUGUCCGUGUGGUGCAAUACCAACAUAAAUAGUGGAGGCAGUAAAGCACCAUGUAACACUGUGUCCCUAACUGAAAAAACAAAGUAGUAUUGUGUCUCAAACUGCAUAGGUAUUGUAGCGCUUAGCAUACACGGAGGGCUGAGCAAGGACCACAGGAGAGGAAGGUAAGGUGCACAAGCGUCUUUAUUUACAGGUGCAGGAAGGGUAAGUGUGGUGCCAGGUGGUAGUGCAGGCUUGGUGCUGGGUGAAGGGGCUGUCGUUGUCCCUGAAGGGGGCAAGACGCAGGAGAGGUUGCAGUGCAGCGGUGGGACCCAGGGGGCUCUGUGGUUGGCAGGCAGACAGUUGGUGCUGCUGAGGGUGCUGGGAGAGGCCCCGGCAGCCACACAUUCCCGUGCUGUCCACAGCACAGGUGGUGCUGAAGUGGCACUGUCCUUUCAGCACCAUAGCGGCAGUAGAGUGAGGAGCGCUUGCUGGUUUAUGUGUGUGGGCUGGAAAACCCGUUGUCACAGUACCCUCCCCCCUCAGCUCCGAGCCUACUGCCAAUGGAUGUCGACCCCAGAGUGCAUAUUGGCGAGAUAGACCGUCAGCAUUGCCAUGCUGAGCCCCCGCCUGAUGUUGCACCUUGAAGUCAAAGUCCUGUAGAGAGAGGAACCACCAUCUCACCUGGGCAUUGGAAUCCUUAGCCCUGGCAGGGGGGCAUGGUCCGUCACAAGGGUUAAGUGUCGAACAGCCAGGUAGUACCAUAGCUCCUCCACCACCCAUUUGAUGGCCAGGGCCUCUAUCUCUACGGUGGCAUGCUUUCUUUUGGUUGGGGUCAGCUUCCAACUCACGUAGAGGACCAGGUGCUUCUCCCUUUUGAAGGUCUGCAAUAGCACAGCUCCCAGCCCUGUCUCCCAAGCGUCUGUGUGCACGGUGAAGGGGAGGUCGAAGUCGGGGUUUUGCAGGACGGGAAAGCAGGUCAGUGCCUGCUUCAGGGUCUCAAAGGCUUCUUCAGCUUCCCGACUCCAGCACACCUGGUCGGGCUGGCCCUUCUUUGUGAGAUCUGAGAAGGGAGAGGCAAUUGAGGAGAAAUUAGGCAUAAAACGUCUGUAAUACUCAGCCACCCCAACAAGGCACGUACCUGUUUCUUCGUGGUCGGUCGUGGGUAGCCUCUGACGGCUUCUACCUUCUUCUCCUGUGGCAUCAGGAGUCCUCUGCUGAUACGGUAUCCCAGGUACUGUACGUCUUUGAGCUCCAGGUGACAUUUUUGGGGUUGGCAGUUAGCCUGGACUUCCACAGCUCACCCAGGACCUCCCUAAGAUGGUGUAGGUGGUCGAACCAGGUGGAGGAAUGGAUUACAACAUCAUCGAUGUAGGCAGUGGCAUACUGGCAGUGGGGCCACAGGACGAUGUCCAUAAGCUGCUGGGAUGUCACAGGGGGCCCAUGUAGGCCGAAGGGGAGGACUCAGUACUGCCAGUGGCCACCAGAGGUGGCGAACGUGGUCUUUGGCUUGGCUUCCAGGAUCAGGGCCACCUGCCAGUAUCCUUUGGUGAGGUCCAGUAUGGAGAUGAACCGGGCCCUCCCCAGCUGCUCCACCAGGUUGUCAACCCUAGGGAGGGGGGAGAUGUUGAAGUCCGAUACCUGGUUGAUUCGCUGGAAGUCGUUGCACAGCCGGAUGCUUCUGUCAGGCUUGGGCACCAUGACAGUGGGGCUGGAACAGGGGCUGGUAGACUCUUCAAUGAUGCCUGGCUGACUUCCUCCUCGAUAGCCUUAUGAUGGGCCUCUGGGACAUGAUAGGGCCGCUGGUGGACCAUGACUUCUGUGGGGUCUUGAUGUCGUGGUGGACCAGAGGGUCAGGCCAGGGGUGGAGGAGAAGACGUCAGCAAACUGGUCCACCACUUUUGAGAGCUCCUGGCUCUGGGCCGGGGUGAGCUCACCUCCUCGGUGGACCAAGGCACGCUCAGGUGGAUCUGUGGGGAGACUCACAAAUGCAGACACCACAGGGGCUGGGUCAGUCCAUUUCUUUAACAGGUUACUAUGGUAGAGCUGGAUUUCUGUGUGCCUAUCUGGUUGCUGCAGGCAGUAGUUUACAGGACCCACCCUCUCAAGGACCAUUUACAGGCCAUGCCAGAGAACCAGGAAUUUGAAGGAUGCAUUGGGAAAGAGGAGGACAACCUGGUCUCCAGGCUGAAACUCCCAGGGCUGGGCUAGAUGGUCACCAUCCGAAGAGGAUCUCAGAGAGUGAAGCCGAUGGAUGAGGAGUCUCAUCGAAGAGGAUGUAGGGAAGGAGGAGGUCCCAGUUCCUCCCCUCUUCAUCUACCACCCUCCAAAGCAUCCUCUUCAAGGUUUGGUUGAAUCGCUCCACCAUCGUCUGUCUGAGGGUGGUAAAAUAGACGUCCUCAGGUGCUUUACCUGCAACAACCGUCACAGAUUCGCCAUUAGUUUGGACAUGAAGGGCAUACCUUGGUCGGUGAGGAUGUCCUUGGGGAUUCCAACCCAGCUGAGGAGGAGGAGGAACUCUCGGGUGAUGUUCCGGGAGGUGGCCUUCUGAAGUGGCACUACCUUGGGGUAUCGGGUGGCAUAGUCCAUGAUGACCAGGAUGUACUCAUGCCCCCGGGCAGACUUUGGCAGCGGCCCCACGAGAUUCAUCCCUAUCUGCUCAAAUAGGACACCUAUAAUGGGGAGAGAGAUUAAGGGUGUAGGAGCAGGCUGAUGAGGGGCAGUCCAUUGGCACUGGGGGCACCACUGGCAGAAAGUCUUUACCUCUGCAUCCAUCCCCAGCCAGAGAAACCAGUCCCAAAGCUUCUCCAAGGUGUUGUGGGUGACCGCCCAGAGGAUGGGAGUGUGCCAGGUGCAGGAGGGACAGCAUCCUGGAGCGGGGGACCACCAGGAGAUCACAGGGCUGACCUCUAUGCUCUGUGUGGUAGUAGAGGAGGCCCCUGUGGACCAGGAAGUAGGACGCCGGCAGGCGCUGGUUGGGAUCUUGCUGUACCCCCUCAAUGACUUGCACCUGGCUCCAGCAGUGUUUCAGCUGGUCGUCGUCCUUCUGCUCCCUUCCAAAAUUCCCCUCCUGGGUGACCUGUGUAAAUACGAAUGAGACAGGGUUAGAAGGAUUGGGGUUCUCUGCAGAUGUUGCCCCGGUGUUUCUGUUGCUCUGGGCCAAGCAGGCCUGCCGGACCCUUGGCUGCGUGGUCGUCAGUCUUCUCCACUGCUGCCACUUGGAGGUUUGGCUGGUGGGGAAGCCUGGCCAGUCUCGCCUGAGGAGCAGGGGUACUGGGAGUUCUGGGAUGAGACCCACGAGGAGGGGCCACUCCCCGGCCUGGCUCUGCACGCAGACCCUGGCGGUUGGCACCUCCUGGACGUGCAUGCAUGUGACUGCCAGGGUCCCCAUUUCUGUAGGUGGGGUGUCGAGGAGUAAAGGGCAGGUGAGGGUGAUCAUGCUUCCUGAGUCCAGCAGGGCUGAGACUGGCCUGCUGUUGACCUGCACCAUGUGGGUGUAGUAUGGAGAGCGCAGCCGGCGAGCCAAGGCUUGUCCACUUGGGAGACGGUGGCAACAAGGUCCAGCUCGAUAGGCAUGGGCAUGGGCUAAUCAGGUGGUGUUCCAUAAUUGGGGCUGGAGAAACGGUGGCCUUGGGAGGUAAUGCCGCUCACCCCAGGGUCACUAGAGCACAUUCCAGGACCUCCUGUAUCUCUCAGGGGUUCCAAGACCCUCUCAGGCCCAUGGCCUUCCUUUCUUCGGGUGGCAGAGAAAGGAAGCCCGACCACCCACUCAACAACCUCUGUAGCGGUGCAGAGCUCAGGCUGGAGCCACCUCUUGGUGGUGUGGAGCAGGCUGUCCAUUUGGCCACAAGGGGUGGCCUUGGGGUUGCAGGCCCAGCGGUGAAACUCUGCCGCUGCGCUGGUCGAGCAGGGGAGCAUGGGGUGGUAGGCCAACUGGGCCUCCCCCGAGAGGAAGGGGGCUAGGAUGUGGGCCCAGUCUUCCUCUUCCCAGAGUGACAUCGUCGUCCCCAAUCAUCUUGGUGAGGAGGCGCUGGGCCUAACGGCAGGGGUUGGGAAGAGGGAUAGCGGUGGCUGACUGGCCCGGUUUGAGCUCCAGCAACUCCUGUGUGGUGAGCCAAAGUCCAUGGGCCAGCUCCUGGGUCACCUGAAGGCUAGUCUGCAGGAGGUGUUGGAGAAAAUUCAUAGUGGGGUUGUGGCUGGGGUCCAUGCUCAGGCCCGCAUUCUCCACCAGUGUAGCGCUUAGCAUACGCAGAGGGCUGAGCAAAGACUCUGUCCCCGGCAGCCACACAUUCCCGUGCUCUCCACAGCACAGGUGGUGCUGAAUUGGCACUGUCCUCUCAGCACCAUAACGCCAGUAGAAUGAGGAGUGCUUGCUGGUUUAUGUGUGUGGGCUGCCGUCACAGACUGUUAGGGAGUACAAACACUUUUGGUUUUCCUGUUACAAUUAGUGUUGGAAUUAAAAAAAAAAACCUCUUAAACCUACCAAAAUCUGUAUUGUAUACUAGUCUUCUGCACUUUCUAGUAAAUACUUUUGAAUGUGCAGUGAGGGUUUUCGAUUUGAGACACAGCCCAAUUACAACAAUCAUGCCCACUGCAGAAAGUUUUAAAGAGAAACAGAGCUCAUCAGUCUGUUUAAUGGCUAUGUAUAACAUCCUUAAACAUUACAGUUAAACUUGGAAACCUGAUGGACAGAGAUGUUUUGACCCUGCCAGGGCUAAUCCUGUAGAUGUAAAUAAGAUAUGCAAGUGAGUAUUUGAACAAUGCCUUUGUAUUUGAAAUCAUUUCUAAAAUGUCUUAAUUCGUCUGGAUUCAGCAGCGUGAGUGCUUUUGUAUCGAACUACUUCACUGUAACUUGUGUCAAAAUCCACAAUUCUAUGAAUCAGGGAAUGACAAUGCUCUAGUUUUUAUUUUUAUUGAGUCACUGUAGUUUACAUCAUCUACACUGUGUGUUUAUUGAGAGUCUGAUACAUGAAAGAGAAAGCAAAGCAAUCCUGCACAUUUAAACUGGCCAUUAUAAUGAACUACAGCCAUUAUAUAUCCUUGCACAUCAUAUGACCUGUUUAUAUGAACAUAAUAUUAUGGUUGUGGUGUGAGAUAAUUAAAUUUAUUUAUCCAUAAUGUGAUCAUAUCACUGUUUGUUGCAAGAGUUGUUUUAUAAAGGAGAAAUUUUUUGUUAAAGUUUUGUUAAAGUUUUUUGUUAAAAAUUUUUUGUCUAUGAAAGUAACAGUUAAAAUACUAUUUAAAGUGAGCAUUUUUUAAAUUUUAUUGUUUACAAUUUAUUGAUUAGCACUUUAUUAUUUACUCUUCAGAUUUGAGCAGUUGCAGAACAACUUGCCGGGUUCAGCAUUGACACAAUGAGGCCAUGUGGGCAGACAACAUUGGGAAACGGGUGAAAAUAACGUGAAGAAGAGCUCAAGCAAGAAUUCAUCAGCAGCAGGACUUAGUUUUUAGUCAGUGGAGAGGGAUGUUGUGUCAGAAGUCUGCUGUGAGUGAAGACCAGGGCAAAGAAAUAGAGGAGUGUGAGUUCAAAGGAAAGGAGGAAGAAGAGAGCCUAUUAUCAGAUUGUUCAGGUUGGUCUAAGAUGCAGAAUGUGCAGUCUGCCAGGUGAUGUCUACUGGUGAUAAACUACUAAAGGCAAAACGAAAGUACAAUAUAUGCCCAAAGGUAUGUGGACACCCCUCCUAAUUAUUGAGUUCAGGUGUUCUGGCCACACCCAUUGCUAACAGGUGCAUAAAAUCAAGCACAUAGUCAUUCAAUCUCCAUAGACAAAUAUUGGUAGUAGCCCUCCUUGAUUUGCCCAGGUCAACUGUUAAUGCUGUUAUUGUGAAAUGGAAUCCUUUAGCGACAAAGCAGUAAACGCUACCUACAGGAAUGCAUAGUGCCAAGAGUAAAGUUUGGUGGAGGAGGGAUAAUGGUCUGGGGCUAUUUUUCAGGGUUUUGGAUAGGCCAAUUACUUCCAGUGAAGGGUAACAUUAAUGCUAAUGCAUACAAAGACAUUUUAGGUGAUUGUGUGCUUCCAACUUUGUGGAAACUCCAGUGGCCUGCAAAGAGCCCUGACUGCAACCCCACUGAAUACCUUUGGGAUGAAUUGGAACGUUGACUGAAGGGCACAUAUUCACACACACACACACACACUCCAAAAUCUUGUAGAGAUCCUUCCCAAAAGGGUGGAGGUUGUUACAGAGCUAAUUCAGCUAAAUUUAUUAGAUCAGUACAGCAUGUUGUUGAGACUGAGAUAUUAAGUUGCCUUCACUUAGGAAAAGUUUAGCUUGAGGAAGCAUAAAGCAUAAAAAUCUGUAAAAUAUGCAAAGGCGGGAUUGGCACAUUGACGAAAUGACAUUGUUUAUGCACCAAGAAAGCACCCCAAAGUGUGUGGUAAAAUCCAGAUAACAGGGAGCUCAUGUGAACAGCACUGCAGCCAGAAACAGCACUGAAGUAAAUUAAUGCAUUUGAUAAAGGCACUCCUUUAAAAUAAAUAAAAAAGGAAAUAAAUAAAAUAAAAAUAAAUAAAUAAAUAAGCACUGGACAGACAUCACUGAUGCUGUGAUAUUUACCUGGUCAAGGAUACAAUACCCAUCAAAAUGGUCAGAAACUAGGGUUUUAAGUGAAAAAUAUUUGAUCUUCAUUAUUUGUUACCUUGUUAUUGUGACUUACAAGUUGCAAAUAUUUUUCUAAUACUGCCAUUCCUCAGCUGUACACAGAAUGCCAAGAGUACAAUAAAAAUCAAACAAUUAAGAAAAGGAAUAAUUUUUUUUAAAAUAAAUAAAUAAAUAAAUAAAUAGUAAAACCAACUCAGCUAAUGUAUUCAGUAUUUAAACAUAUUUAUUUACUCACUCUUCUGUCAAUCACCUUUCCAUUUAUUGCAGUUUUAGAUAUGGAAGACAUUAGCAGAGGUGAUGUACUUUUUAUUUAACAUUUUAUAAAUACAGUAUUCGUGCUUGAUUGAUUACAUUUUAGAAAUAAUUGUUUACAUUUUUCAUUUAUAGUUGGGACAUGCACUUUAUUAAAAUUAGUUUGAAAAGGUACUUUGGCCUAAGUGGUCUCUGUUAUUCUUUUUAUUUGAGGUCAUGUUUCCUUGUAGAGCUAUAUUUUCCAUCAGUAAGGAAAUUAGUUUGGUUGUUCUGUAACUUGCAAAAUAUUCUUAAAAACCAACAUGAAAGUAGUUGUGAUAAAAUCAUGGAUCAUGAUCCAGCCUGAAAAAAAUUGUGAUAUAAAAUAUGUACCAGAACACCUACGCUAGGUGGCAGUUUUAUCUUCUCAUUGAUUACCUCUAACUGUAAUUUCAGAUAAAGAUGUAUGUAAAGGUCUUAUGUUAAUAACUGGCCAAAUCAGUAAACAAGUAUGCAUCUUUGUAAAUGUGUAUGCAUCCAAUAUUGAUAGAGAAAAAGGAAUGGUCUUUAAUAAUUUAAGAAAUAGCCCAAUAAAAUCAAUAUGCAAUCCUUGUAACCUUGCUGCUUGCAAAAGUAUUCAACCCCUUCAGACUAGUACUUGGUAGAACCACAUUUUGCUGUAAUAACAGCUUUAAGUCUGUUGGGUAAGUUUGUACCAGCUUUGCACAUUGUUUGGGAGUGAUUUUUGUCCAUUCUUCCUGGCAGAUUGCUACAGGAUCUUCAGAUUGUUUGGAUGUCAUUUGUUGACUGCAGUUUUCAAACAGUGCCAUAAAUUGUCAAUGGGGUUCAGAUCUGACUUUGUUUUAACCUCUCCUUUGGUCUUGUGUUUGGGAUCAUUGAUGCUGCCACCAACAUAUUUCACUGUAGGGAUGGUGUUAAUUGAGGUAUGGCCUGCCUUUGGGUUGCACCACACAGAGGGUUUUGACACUUGACCAUAUAUAGUAUCUCCCACCAAAAAAAAAAAACAUCUUCACUGAGUCGCUCUUGUGAUUUCAUAUAGCUCUCCUUGAGCAAUGGCUUCUUUCUAUUCAAGAUUCAAGAUUUUGUCACAUACACAGUUAUAAACAGUGUAUAACUUGCAGUGAAAUAAAAACCUUGCCUACUCCUCUUUCAACUGUACAUUUAAAUAACUAAAUUAAAAACCAGAAAUUAAUAAAAAAUAAGAAAUAGUAUGAAAUAAGAAAUAAUAAGAUAUAUUAAGAAAUAAGAAAUCUAUGUACAGGAAUGUGCAAAAAAUGGAUGUACAAAAUAUGCAAGUUUAUUACAUGUACAAAAUAUGUAAAUAUGUUACUUGUAGUAACAAUACAAAGUGCAGUGUGCAGAGUUUCAGUGGAUUGUAGAGUGACUGGAGAGUCUUUAUGGAGUCUUAAGGAAUCUGAGUGGUGGACAUAUACCUAUUGAAGAGUCUGAUGGCCUAAGGGAAGAAGCUCCUCCUGAGACUCUCAGUUUUAGCUAUCAGACAAUGGAAGCACUUGCCUGAUUGCAGCAGACUGAAUAGAAAGUUACCGGGGUGGGUGGAGUCCUUGAUGAUUUUACCAGCUCUUGUACUGCAUUGUCUAGUGUACAUAUCAUGCAGAGAGGGGAGAGCAGACCCAGAGAUGUUCUCAGCUAAGCAUACGACUCUGAUGCACUGAGACAGUAAAUUUUCUAUAGCCCCAGUAUAGAACCUUUUCAGGAUUGCUGGGGAGACCCUGAAUUUCCUCAGCAGUCUCAGAUGCUUGUAUGGCUUUGUUCACCUGCUCUUAGAUGUGAUGAGCCCAGGUCAGGUCCUCAGAGUGUACUCCAAGGUACCUGAAGCUGCUCACUCUCAAGUGGGAUGUAGUUCCACUGCUGCCGCUUCCUGAAGUCCACAACCAGCUCCUUGAUUUUGCUGACAUUCAGAGAGAGACUGAGAGUUAGCCUGGCUCCAAGCUGCUAGUUUGGCGGCCUUGUUGUUGUUGGAGAUGAGGCCCAUAACCAGUGUGUCAUCAGCAAACUUGACAACAGAAGUGGAGCUGUGGGAGGACAUACAGUCCUGUGUGUAGAGAGAGUAGAGCAGGGGGCUCAGGACACAACCUUGUGGGGCUACAGUGCUCAGGGUGAUGUUGUUAGAGUUAAACUUGCCCACUCUCACUACCUUGGGUCUGCCUGUGAGGAAGUCCAGGACCCAGUCACUGAGGGGGGCAUUAAGUCUGAGGUCCCUGAUCUGGGAGGCUAACCUGUAUUGGACUAUGGUAUUGAAGGCUAAACUAUAGUCUGUAAACAGCAGCCUACCAGACAGUCCUCAAUUAUGCAAUUAAGAUCUUGAAAUGGCUGAUGAGCCUUCACUUCACUCUCAGCCACUGUGCUCUGUAACUCCUUCAGAGUGACUGUUGGCCUCACUGUGGCUUUCCUCACCAGUCUCUGUCUGGUUUUUGAGGGAGGGCCUUGUCUAGGUGUUGUGAUGCAGCUUCCACUUUCUUACUGUUGAUCCAACAGUGCUUACUGGAAUGUCCAACUCUUUAAUAAAUAAUUUUACACCCUAUUACUAAAAUUAUGAAAUUCUAUUACUUUAUCUUUAAUUUCCUCGUUAGCUCAUUAUUCAUUUUCACUCCUUUCCUUCAGACUGAAAGUCAAUUCAAGACUUUCUAGUUGGAAAGUAAUUUUCGUUGUCUGAUGUUAAACAGGUUUAAGAGAACCUCCUGGGCCUUAUCUGACAAAUGCUCUAACACACAUAACGUCAGGAGAUGCAAGAUGGCACGCUCCAGGCUCAAUCGCCUCUGCCUUUAUCUUUGAUUUUGCCUGUCCCUUAAUGUUAAAAAAAUUUUUGUAGUAAAUUUUGCAACCUGAAUUUAACUGGUUGAAUUUGAGCACUGAAAUUAGCAACCUGAAUACAGGUUUUUAAAUAUUUGAAAUACAUGGAUGCUACUAGUCCCAGUCAUUGUUUUAUGUGUGCUAUUUAAAGGAGGCUUAUCCCUGUAUCAUUCACUCUACUUGUGUUUUUUUUACAGUCAUAAGUCAAACAAUUCCAGCUCAGUCGAUUCAGCUUCACAUUAGCUGAGCGAUUUGGUGAAUAUUUUCUGAGUUUUGAGCUUCUGUCCUAUACCGGCAACAUCGAUGGUUAAAAGGGACAAAUUAGUUCUUCUGUCUCAUAGUAGAAAUACUGACAGUGAAAAGGGCCAAAUUAUUUCUUCUGUCUCAUACUGGAAAUAUUGAUUGUGAAAAGGGCCAAAUUAGUUCAUCUGUCUCAUACUGGAAAUAUGCAUGGUGAAAAGGGACAAAUUAGCCUGGGGUUAAAUGUAAAUUUAUGUAAUAAGUGAAGAAUUAUGAUGUGUGCCUGUAACAAUUGGCUGCAGGAGAUUUGCAUUACAACACACUCAGUUGCAUUGCACAAUCUAGCUGAAUUUGGGCAACAGGCCGAGAUGGUAGAGCAUAAACCAGGAAGGGAGCAGCAUAUUGACUUGUACUUACAUGAGGUUGCUUGUUCCGUAAGAAAGGAGAUCUGGGAUAUUUGAAAAAACUGGUGUCCCAUUUCACUUCUGGGGGUAGAUUAUAACAUGCUCUCCAAAGCUAUAACAAACUGCUUGAAAAUAGUGGUUAUUAAAAUAAAAAUAAAAGUUAUUCAUGCUGACCAAUCCUAAUGCAUUCCAGGGCGCUCUAUUUUUGACAAUCUGUUAGUCACAGAUUUCAAAAUCGGGGUCAAUUCCCUCGAAACCAGCUCCCCGGGCCCCAGGGUUUCCCUACCCCUCCAUCCUCUCCUUUUCCUUCACCCCUGAUGUGUCCCCUAACUCUUUCCACACAGGUAGAACCUUCUGUGCCCACCAGGACCAUGGCAAAGCCUUGGCAGGACUGCUGGCGCGGCAGGAAAGCCAGGCAUUUCCAUGAUCAGCGCUCCCUCCGGAAAGCGGGAAUACUGAUCUGGAUUCCUGACGUGGUGCAAGCCUCCCCCGAUUGAGCAGGAAUGUACUCAGUGAGAAUGGCAACUGACCUGUCGGACAGAGGGCUGGGGGCCAUAUUGUCCACAUGGUGGAGAGGGAAGAGCGCCCUGUGCUGUACAUUACCUGGAAACUCUCGGUGAGGGAGUCAAAGUACAGCACGAUUGAGAAGGAUUGUCUGGCCAUCAAGUGGACGGUCCUCACUCCCCAAUACUACCUACUGGGACACCCUUUUGCCCUGUGUUCCCAUCACGCAGGUCAAACGGGCAGGUAAUGCAUAAUGAUUCUCAACUGUGUGUUAUUAGCCAGAGUUUACUUAUGUGUGUGUUUUUUGAGCCUUCAGAAUCUCCCAUAACAAGCCAGAGAGAAAGAGCCAACCAGCAUGGAGCCGUGUGUCUGCGUGUGGGUUUAGUGCACUGAAAAGCGAAAGUAAAAAUAAAGAGCUAUUUUAAAUUGUCCCCAGCCUGCCUCCCCUUCCUCAUUUCCAACCCAACACGAGAAGUGUCACACAGAAUUUAGCUUGGUUUUGUUCUGGGAGGCGUGAAAAAUGCAAAUUAAAAUAUGCUGUUAGCAAUACAUUGCACACACAAUAGGAAUGAUAAAGGAUUAUACAAGAAUGAGCAGUCAAUCAGAAGAGAAAUGCUUCAAGCUCUGUUUCCAUGAACAAGCCAGGGGAGCACUAAUAAGCCCUGACAUUUCCUGCAUUGAGGAUAUGGAUGUUCCUAGUGCAAUCUUCUUCAACCUCCCAAUAAAACAAAACAUUCUAUAUCCUAUACAAAUCCUAUAUUUCCAGUGCCCAGAUGGAACCACAGCUACAUCUGCUGAAAUAAGGAGAAUUACUACAGACCUCUACAUAAACCUCUACAGUGCUGAUAACUGCAACCUGUACUGCAUAGAAGAGUUACUGAGGAAACUGCCCAAAAUGACAACAGAACAGAUGCAGACCUUAAAUUGGAGGAUGUAACAACUGUAUUUCAGCAGCUCACAGUUGGAUGUGCACCAGGCAUCAAUCAACUGCCAACCAACUUUUAUAAAUACUGUUGGAGUGGACUUGUUUGAGGUUUUUAAAUGCUGAAACAAUGAUGCACAAUCAUAGCACAGUACUGCCCUAUGCAGAUAACAUGACCAUUUUUGUCAGACAUCAAGAGGAUGUUCAAGCUCUAAACUAUAUUUUAGCUAUUUAUGCAGUAGCAUCUUUAACUGAGAAAAAUGCAAGAGUUUUUAACAGAACAAUGGCAGAGACAAGGGCCUCCAAUUUUACCAGGCAGUGUAUAGUGAGGAAUAGCUGGAGUGAAUUAUCUAGGGGUGUUUUCAGGAAAAGCACAAUUUCAGAAUUAGAAGUGUGAAUGGGUAGUGGAAAAGGUGUGUGUCAAGUUGUCUCAGUGGACUACAGGAGGAGAUUACUAGUCACUAACAACCUGAUCGCUUCCAUGCUGUGGCAUCAGUUCAUUGUCCUUGAACCACUGGGGUCACUGAUCAUGGUAUCAUUGUAAACUUCUGGAAAACAUAGCACUAGACUUGUGCUUCUGUUCUCCAUUUUCCACCACAGGGUCAGGGCGAGAGUGACCUGUCCUGUCAUGUCUAAACCAGAGGCUGUUGUAUGGGGAAGGACUGGCAUAGGCUGACAGAGCUUGCACAUGGACAUGGCUUAAUGAUAAACAUCUAUUCAUGCUGAAGUUGAGUGAAAUGUACUUGUCAGCAACAACUCCAUUUUAUUAGUCUGUCCUGAGAGCUUGGUCCUCAGUGCUGAAGGACUGACUCACAACUGUUGCGUUAUUUUCUUGAUUGAUAAUAUUAAGUGAAAAUCAAAACUUAUCUAACUAAACUUAAACUUAAUUAACUUAGAUUACUAGCAUAGAUUUUAGUAUCUUACAAAUAGAAACCUUAUGUUCUCUACACAGUAUAUAUGUAAAUAUACCUUUCCAGUCCAGCCAUGUUGUGCAUACCAUGAAAGAUAGCAGACACCAUAGUUUGCCUGUAAUACUGCAUUAUUAUGUCCUGAUAGCUGUUUGGAAAUUGUAGGCACGAGUGCUUUUUCUUUUGAAGAGCUCUGCUGUGCCUUAAAGGUCAGUCGCAACUGUUUGGAUAAUUCUGUUGGUUUUAUGGACACUUGAGAAGCUGUAAGCUUUUUUACAGUAGCAAAAAGCAUCAGUUUUCAAAAAGCAUGAAGCGUUUCUCCACUAGUGAAAAUGCUUCUAUUUUUCAUUCUUUUCUAAUUUAAUACAACAAUUUUCAUUACAAAUUAUAUUACUGGCAACAACCUGAGUGAAAAGUAGAAUCUUUGAAAUAUUUACAUGAAUUUCAGUUUCUUAGCAUUUGGUAUGUCCCCUUUUGGCUUAAAUGAGUGUGUACUCGAGCUGGCAUGGACUCCACAAGUUAUAUUUUAGUUUAUUUUAGUUUAUAAAUUUCAAAGUUCUAAAACUUUCUGUUUAUUUACAAUUUUAAAUGAAAAAAUCCCAGAUUUUCAAUGUGGUGUCAGACUUUUGGACCCCACUGUAUAUGCUAUACAUUGCUCACCAUGGUUGUACAGGGUGUUUUUUUUUUUAUUACCCUGCAAUGUUCAUAAAAUUUCCCAUGUGGGAACAGAGAGAACUUCAGAAAAUCCACACACACAGUCCACUUAUAUGGGUCAGCAUUUUUUUAAAAAAAAGUAUUUUUUAGGGAGUUUUCAAUCUUGUCCACUCUCUUGAGUCUUGGAAUUCAUGGUACAGCAUGGCAAUGGUUUGCUUCCUACCAGGAGGGUUGGUCACAUCCGGUGACAGUGAGGGGAUCCACAUCUGCUCCAUGCAGUCUCUCCACUCGUGUCCCACAAGGCUAAGUACUCAGACCUCUUCUGUUCGCUCUCUAUUCUUGAUCCCUUGGGGAUUGAGGUCAUAUCAUCACAUGGGUUUUCAUAUCACUGCUAUGUGGAUGGGACUCAACGUAUCCUCUCCUUUCCUUCCACAGACACUCUUCUGCUCAGAUCUCAGCAUGUCUGGCAGACAGCUCAUCAGCUGAAACGUAAUCCCAGUAAAACUUAAGCUUGUGAUCUCCCUGGUCAACUCUCAGAUCUCACCUUGCUAAACUGACACACUCAUGCUGAUUUCUUUCCUUUUUCUAUCCAUAGAGGCUAAUCAGGUGCUUGUUCCGUCCUUUGUCAUUUUGAGACUAUACUACUGCAUAGUAGUAUUCAGAAUGCAGCUUCAUGACUUGACCCUCCCACACCACGCCAUUGCUACACCCCGUCAGUAUUAUAAUCAGAUUGAUAGCGUUGCGUGAGUUACAUUAAAUGAAUCCCAGGGUGCUCAUGUCUGACAUUGCCAUGGUUACAACUACAGCUAAAACCUAACAUGGUCAGUGCUAACUUUCACUGACUAGUUAUCCAUAUUUACAGUAAUGUAUGAACCUUAGUCAGCUAGUUAAUGUAUUUCACAGUGCUCACCACAAAUGACUAUACAGCUGUUAAAAAGUGAAAUUAUACCAUGAGGGAAAAUGGCGUACUGUGAAAUCUGUAAGUGGCUAAUGUUAGUGAACUUAUUCUGAAUUAAGAUAACUAAAAAAACUAGCUACAAAUCCAUGAACCUGAAGUAACAAACAAUUAACAAUAAAUCACAUCUGUUAAAUUAAGUCUAAUUAGAAAACCAGAAAUUAUAAAAUGGCAAGUAGAGUUUGUAUAAACUUGGCUAAAGUACGGUAUGGAGCAGUGAGCCAAUUUAACUAAAGUAGGUUCCAGCGAAAUGUAAACAGGUCAUGUGACGCAUAACCAGAAUCAUUUUAUUUGCUAUAUACAUGUAUUUUGGAAUUUUUCUUGGUGUUGUCAUGGCCGUAGCUGAUUUUCUGCGUUUCCCCGUUUUCCAUUUGUUUUCCCCUUCCUUGUGUGUUUUCUCUUGUUUCUGUUUGUGUGUGCGUGUCUGUAUGUAACUGGGCAUGGCGCUCACAUUUGUGCCUUUCCUGAUUGCUCCAGAGAACACUGCUCACUCCCAGCCCUCCGCAGCCCUCUGCAGCGUAAGGCAAGUAGCAAGGGAGAUGCAAGUCAUUCCUCCUCCAUUGUUCCCUCGUGUUUGCCCAGUGUCCCUUAAUCUACUCCUCUGAUGAUGCCAAGAUCGUCUACAUCAUGGGACUACUGAGGGGUGACACCUUGGCCUGGGCCACCGCUGUCUGGGUCAGGCCGCCAGCUUUAUGGUCCACCCUCUCGUCCUUCACCAACGAUCUGUGAUGGUGGGAUGAUAUUUGAUCAUCCCGUCCAGGGAAGAGAGGCUGCCAAAUGCCUUCUCUCCCUCUGCCAGGGGCCCCGUAGUCUGGCGGAGUACUCUGUUGAGUUCCAAAUCCUGGCCACCGAGUCUGGAUAGAAUGAUGUGGAACUUCAGGCGGGGUUCGUUAAUGGCCUUAACGAGCAGGUCAAGGAUGAGCUAGCUCUCAGGGACGAAGUGGACUCCUUUGUUCUCUCUGGCCAUUUGGUUAGAUAACUGUAUGUGGGAGUGGUGCAGGGAGAGAACCAGCCGGCCCCGCGCCCACCCGAUUUCAGUUCCCUUGCCUGCGCUGAUCGGCUUGGGUGCUGAGGACUGGCUUCCAAGUCCAGCCUCCCCAUUGAGCUACCGGACCCUCCCAUUACUGUGAACACCCUGGACGGGAGCUUCUUGGGCCUGGUCACCCAUCACACUGCACCUUAGCUCUUAGUUCUCUCUGGGAAUCAUCAUGACCAGGUGCAGCUUAACAUCAUUCCCUCACCAUGUACCCCAUUGGUAUUAAGCUAUUCCUGGUUGAGAAAGCACAAUCCCUACAUAGACUGGUCAGCCAGGAGGGUUGCUAACUGGAGUCCUUUCUGCUAGUCCUCAUGUCUGAAGUCAGCCCUUCCAUCCAGUGCCACCGCUUUGGCCUCCCCGGCCCCUAGCCCCCCAGACCUCUCCAAGCUUACCUCCCCCUCCACUCUGUGAACGCACAUUCCGCAUGCUCAAUUGAGUUAAGGUCUGGUGAUUGACUUGGCCAGUCUAAAACCUUCCACUUUUUCUCCACUGAUGAAGUCCUUUAUUGUGUUGGCAGUGUGUUUUUAGGUCGUUGUCUUGCUCCAUAAUGAAGUUCCUCCUAAUUAGUUUUGUAACCCGGGUAACCCAGGCUGCUAGCAAAGAGAUUAAGAAUAAUUCAAAAUGUAAGGAAAAGUUGAAGGAAGCUAAGAAAAGAGAAAAAAGGGGGAAAGUUCCAGGAGGACAAAAGAUUCAUUAAAUCACUGAUCUCACUUCAGUGACAGACUUCCCUAAGAGCCAGUAAUAACAACUCAUUCAUAAGCCCCGCCCGUAUGUGGCGUUGGCGCUGCUGCCGUUUUCAGCAUGAGCAGAGAGGGAAAGAUGAUAUUAUACGGGACAGCAGCAUGGAGCGUUUCUCCAGAAACUCCCUGCGUUAAACAUUAAUCUAACGAUAAAUGUGAUUGAGUGCACUUGGAAAGCGGAAUUUACAGAAUCGAUGCGUCAGCCUGAAGUGAAGAUCGCAGGAUUGUAAACGGAGCAGAUCCCAGAGUGUUGAAGCCCUGUGAUUAAUCUUCUUUGUGAGAAUAUAUCAUUCUAUUUUGCUCUGGUGAGUGAAUUUUCAUAUAUUAGUCUAAUAUCAUUUUGAAAUAAUUCGUUACAAUUCAAUUUUGAGCAGGCGUGCGUUGAGCUAGUUAGCACGUGAGCUAAAGCUACCAUGUGUAAAAGUGCUAAAUGGGUCAUGAGACAAGACAAAGAGUGAUUUAUGAGUGUCAAUGUGUUUAUUAACUGUCGAAAAGUUGUAUUAAUGUGUCAUUUGAGACGUGCGUGUGUGCAUUUGUGAUGGAAGUGUUUGAAUCAGAAGUUAAUUAUUGUGUUUGCCUUGUGUUUUGCAAGGCUGGGGUUUUUCCCCCUGUGUUUCUUCUUAUGAACACGAUCUCCUGCAAGAGAUACCCAUUUUGUGCCGAACGUAAUCCUUUGGUGAGGAAUCAUCUGUGUUCGUACGCGAUUACAUGUGCACAAAUGGCGAGCUGCCCACGGACCUUUGAACUGUGCUUUGAAACCAUCAACUGGUAGGAGAAUUCAAAAUUUUCUUGUUCUUUGGGACACAAAAGACUCUGAUACUUCGAACUUGUUUGAUUUUUUUGCUUCUGAAACGGAGAGACUUUGUCUUUUGAACUUGAACUGAUCAAAUGAGUGUUCAACUCUCUGAACUGAAUCAUUUGAUUCACGAACUUUGAUUAAUUGAGUCGUUUGAUUCGCGAACCUUGUUCAAAUGAAUCAAUUCGUUGUUAUCGUGUUCUCAACUUAUAUCGUUGAAUAUAGAGAUUUGAAAGGAAAAGUGUUAUCUACAUUUAUUUUCUGCAUUCUGAGUUAAACUGAACAUCCAGUUACAAUUCCUUUUGCUUAAUUGGGUUAUUGAAUGUAAUGUUUUGUUGAAGAGUUUACUAUUGUGAAUUGAUUUGAAGGAAACAGAUACAGUAUUGUUUUUUUUGAGAAUUUAUUUUAUUGUCACAUUGUGUGAAGAGUGUGAAACGUCAUCAAACUGAAUUGAAGCUGUUGAACUGUUGAAUUCUUGGUCCUAUAAGAGACAACAGAAUAAUUUGUGACAAUUGUUCAGAUCUGCUGACUACUAUUAAUUAAUUGUUGAUGAAUGUGAUUCUUCUACUUGAAACAAACUACAAUGAGAAGAAAUUUUCUUUUAUUAAUAUAAAUUCCUAUAUGAAUCAGAAUCAAACUGUGUUGACUAUUCACUCACCGGUAGCAUCAUAUCCUCCCUCCAGUAGUUGUUCCUAUCUUCUGAUACAACUGGUCCAUACUGAAAAUCACUGCUGCGCAUGGCACGUGUGUGAUGUUGCAUGUUACCUGCUACAGUUUGGAUGCAUUUCUCUAUAAAUUGGCAGACAGAAUGUUUCUGUAGACUUCUGAAUUCAUUCUGCUACUACUACCAUGAGUUAUAGCAUCAUUAAAGAUUAGUGAGCCCGUUCCAGAAGCAGCCAUGCAAGCCCAAGCCAUGACACUACCUCCUUGACUGAUGAGCUCAUAUAUUUUGGAUCAUAAGCAGAUGCUUACUUUCUACUCAUUUUUCCUUCACUUUGGUAGAGGUUCAUCUUGGUUCCAGAACUUUUGUGGCUCAUCUCUGUAUUUCUUUGUGAAUUCCAAUCUGACCUUCCAAUCCUUACUGCUGAUGAGUGGUUUGCAUUUUGUGGUAUGGCCUCUAUAUUUCUGCUCUCAAAGUCUUCUUCAAAUGGUGGAUUGUAAUACCUAUCACCCCUUCCCUGUGGAGGUUAUUGCUGAUGUCACUGAGCGUCACAGCUCUCACAAUGUUUGUCAUCAACUGCUGUUGUUUCCCUUUUCCGACCUGUCUGGUUGUUAGUACACCAGUGGUUUCUUUCUUUUUCAGGACUUUCCAUGGGCUAUGACCAGUGCUUCUGGAAUGGGUCAGAUCAAUUUUCACUCUUCUCUCGGCUUCAAAAUGGUUUGCUUUUCUCCCAUAGACAGCUCUCUGGAUUUCAUGUUUGUUUAUCCUUUUUAACAACAAAUGCAGUCUUCAGAGGUGAAACCCAGGGCUAAAAUCCAAAGUAGAUAUUCAGAGCUAAUAAUUAUUUAACCAAUCGAUCUAACAGGGCACACCUGGGCAACAAGAAACACCAGUCAGUCACAUCCAAAAAUGGAUGGGUUCAAACAAAUGGUACCAUGCUCUAAGUUGUUUAGCAUAUCUAGGUGUAAAUAUCAGGAAAUAAAAGCUGAAAUUCUGAACUAUUGUAUUUUAAUCUCAAACCCAAAUGUCUUCAGUGGGAAAAUUUCCACUGGAGAUCAAGAGUUUACAUCGUUCUCUUGCAUUUUUAACUUAAAUAAUGUCAUUAACUGUAAUUCAUGUUAUUUAAUGUAAUGAAAAAAUGUAAUUGUAAUCCGUGUUAUAUUGCACAUACAGUAUAAAAAAACAUACAGUGGGGUCCAAAAGUCUGAAACCACAAUGAAAAUCUAGGAUUUAUACAGAAAUAAACAGAAAGUUUUAGAAUUUUUAAAUAUUUAAAACAAAGAAAGUAAAUUUUCAAUAUCUUGAAUAUUUAAUAUUCAAGAUUCUGCACUAUUUCUAGGUCCCUAUUUAUAUGUAAGUAAAUUUGUGAUACUGACCAUGUUAAAUGCUUUGUACAAAAGGUCAGCUUUUCCUCAUGCCUAAUCUUUUCUAUUGAAGCAUGUGUUAAGACGAUUCUCCCAUGGAUUUGAUCUAAAAAUGGAUUAUAAGGUUUUGCACAAACUUGUGAAGUCCAUGCCAGCUCAUGUAAAAACUGUCCAGCUGUCAUUAAAGCAAAAAGGGGACAUAUAAAAAAAUUCAUUCAUGUAAUUAUUUCAGAGAUUCUACUUUUCACUCAAGUUGUCAAUAAUAUAUUCAUCAGUUGUUGUUUUACUAAAUAAUAUUAAAAACCACCAAAUUCCACCAAUGUUCUACACUAUACAUCCAUGCCCUACUGUAUGUGGCAUUUUUGUCAGUGUUCAGAAGUUUGUGUUGUAAUUAUAUAACCUGCAAUAAAAUGAAAUGAUCAAAAUAA